rnacentral:rRNA from 1 species
UACGUAGGUGGCGAGCGUUGUCCGGAUUUACUGGGCGUAAAGGGAGCGUAGGCGGACUUUUAAGUGAGAUGUGAAAUACCCGGGCUUAACUUGGGUGCUGCAUUUCAAACUGGAAGUCUAGAGUGCAGGAGAGGAGAAUGGAAUUCCUAGUGUAGCGGUGAAAUGCGUAGAGAUUAGGAAGAACACCAGUGGCGAAGGCGAUUCUCUGGACUGUAACUGACGCUGAGGCUCGAAAGCGUGGGGAGCAAACAGGAUUAGAUACCCUGGUAGU